rnacentral:rRNA from 1 species
GAUGAACGCUGGCGGCGUGCCUAAUACAUGCAAGUCGAGCGAACAGACGAGGAGCUUGCUCCUCUGACGUUAGCGGCGGACGGGUGAGUAACACGUGGAUAACCUACCUAUAAGACUGGGAUAACUUCGGGAAACCGGAGCUAAUACCGGAUAAUAUAUUGAACCGCAUGGUUCAAUAGUGAAAGACGGUUUUGCUGUCACUUAUAGAUGGAUCCGCGCCGCAUUAGCUAGUUGGUAAGUUAACGGCUUACCAAGGCGACGAUGCGUAGCCGACCUCAGAGGGUGAUCGGCGACACUGGAACGGAGACACGGUCCAGACUCCUACGGGACGCCGCAGUAGGGAAUCUUCCGCAAUGGGCGAAAGCCUGACGGAGCAACGCCGCGUGAGUGAUGAAGGUCUUCGGAUCGUAAAACUCUGUUAUUAGGUAAGAACAAAUGUGUAAGUAACUAUGCACUUCUUGACGGUACCUAAUCAGAAAGCCACGGCUAACUACGUG